AUUGAACGCUGGCGGCAGGCCUAACACAUGCAAGUCGAGCGAGCGGCGGACGGGUGAGUAAUGUCUGGGAAACUGCCUGAUGGAGGGGGAUAACUACUGGAAACGGUAGCUAAUACCGCAUACCAUCAGAUGUGCCCAGAUGGGAUUAGCUAGUAGGGGGGGUAACGGCUCACCUAGGCGACGAUCCCUAGCUGGUCUGAGAGGAUGACCAGCCACACGGGAACUGGGACACGGUCCAGCUUCUGACGGGAGGCAGCAGUGGGGAAGAUUGCACAAUGGGCGCAAGCCUGAUGCAGCCAUGCCGGGUGUGUGAAGAGGGCCUUCGGGUUGUAAAGCACGUUCAGCGGGGAGGCGUUACCAGCAGAAGAAGCACCGGCUAACUCCGUGCCAGCAGCCGCGGUAAUG
rnacentral:rRNA from 1 species